rnacentral:rRNA from 1 species
GCUUACACAUGCAAGUCGAGCGGUAGCACAGGGGAAGCUUGCUCCCUGGGUGACGAGCGCCGGACGGGUGAUUAAUGUCUGGGAAACUGCCUGAUGGAGGGGGAUAACUACUGGAAACGGUAGCUAAUACCGCAUAACGUCGCAAGACCAAAGAGGGGGACCUUCGGGCCUCUUGCCAUCAGAUGUGCCCAGAUGGGAUUAGCUAGUAGGUGGGGUAAUGGCUCACCUAGGCGACGAUCCCUAGCUGGUCUGAGAGGAUGACCAGCCACACUGGAACUGAAACACGGUCCAAACUCCUACGGGAGGCAGCAGUGGGGAAUAUUGCACAAGGGGCGCAAGCCUGAUGCACCCAUGCCGCGUGUGUGAAGAAGGCCUUCGGGUUGUAAAGCAUUUUCAGCGAGGAGGAAGGUGGUGAGCUUAAUACGCUCAUCAAUUGACGUUACUCGCAAAAAAACCACCGGCUAACUCCGUGCCAGCAGCCGCGGUAAUACGGAGGGUGCAAGCGUUAAUCGGAAUUACUGGGCGUAAAGCGCACGCAGGCGGUUUGUUAAGUCAGAUGUGAAAUCCCCGGGCUCAACCUGGGAACUGCAUUUGAAACUGGCAAGCUAGAGUCUCGUAGAGGGGGGUAGAAUUCCAGGUGUAGCGGUGAAAUGCGUAAAGAUCUGGAGGAAUACCGGUGGCGAAGGCGGCCCCCUGGACGAAGACUGACGCUCAGGUGCGAAAGCGUGGGGAGCAAACAGGAUUAGAU